rnacentral:rRNA from 1 species
AAGUCUAAAACGACUCUCGGCAACGGAUAUCUCGGCUCUCGCAUCGAUGAAGAACGUAGCGAAAUGCGAUACUUGGUGUGAAUUGCAGAAUCCCGUGAACCAUCGAGUCUUUGAACGCAAGUUGCGCCAUAAGCCUUCUGGCCGAGGGCACGUCUGCCUGGGUGUCACA